UGCGGGGGGGGCAAGCGUUGUUCGGAAUUACUGGGCGUAAAGGGCUCGUAGGCGGCCAACUAAGUCAGACGUGAAAUCCCUCGGCUUAACCGGGGAACUGCAUCUGAUACUGGAUGGCUUGAGUUCGGGAGAGGGAUGCGGAAUUCCAGGUGUAGCGGUGAAAUGCGUAGAUAUCUGGAGGAACACCGGUGGCGAAGGCGGCAUCCUGGACCGACACUGACGCUGAGGAGCGAAAGCCAGGGGAGCAAACGGG
rnacentral:rRNA from 1 species